GAUGAAGAACGCAGCGAAAUGCGAUAAGUAAUGUGAAUUGCAGAAUUCAGUGAAUCAUCGAAUCUUUGAACGCACAUUGCGCCCGCCAGUAUUCUGGCGGGCAUGCCUGUUCGAGCGUCAUUACAACCCUCAGGCCCCCGGGCCUGGCGUUGGGGAUCGGCGGAAGCCCCCUGUGGGCACACGCCGUCCCUCAAAUACAGUGGCGGUCCCGCCGCAGCUUCCAUUGCGUAGUAGCUAACACCUCGCAACUGGAGAGCGGCGCGGCCAUGCCGUAAAACACCCAACUUCUGAAUGUUGACCUCGAAUCAGGUAGGACUACCCGCUGAACUUAAGCAUAUCAAUAAGCGGAGGA
rnacentral:misc_RNA from 1 species